AAGCAUUGCAGCAGUAUUGGUGUUACCUGAGGAAAUCACACUUUGAUGGCAAGUCUAUAAACGAAUUUCUGGUGAAGUCUCCUAUGCUAAAUUUAGAAGACAUUGAAUGGAAAAACUUUGUUAUGCAUUGGUCUCGUUCCGAGGAUGAGGAAAUCUGCUCGAAAAAGAAUUCCGAUUUGAAAAGAACGACAGGAUAUCGCAAAUAUGCUGCCCGCUGCUUUGCUCUUAAUAAAGGCAAUGCUUAUGAAGAAGAUUAUA